GACGAACGCUGGCGGCGUGCCUAAUACAUGCCAGUAGAACGCUGAAGGAGGAGCUUGCUUCUCUGGAUGAGUUGCGAACGGGUGAGUAACGCGUAGGUAACCUGCCUGGUAGUGGGGGAUAACUAUUGGAAACGAUAGCUAAUACCGCAUAAUAGCAGUUGUUGCAUGAUAACUGUUUGAAAGGUGCAAUUGCACCGCUACCAGAUGGACCUGCGUUGUAUUAGCUAGUUGGUGGGGUAACGGCUCACCAAGGCGACGAUACAUAGCCGACCUGAGAGGGUGAUCGGCCACACUGGGACUGAGACACGGCCCAGACUCCUACGGGAGGCAGCAGUAGGGAAUCUUCGGCAAUGGACGGAAGUCUGACCGAGCAACGCCGCGUGAGUGAAGAAGGUUUUCGGAUCGUAAAGCUCUGUUGUAAGAGAAGAACGAGUGUGAGAGUGGAAAGUUCACACUGUGACGGUAUCUUACCAGAAAGGGACGGCUAACUACGU
rnacentral:rRNA from 1 species